CUGUGGCAUAGUGGUUAGAGUGUCUGCCUCAGAUGCGGGAGGUCGCGGGUUUGAAUGCCCCUGUGCUAGA